AUUGUGAGUGUUUCAAUCCAUCUUUUUGCAACCUGCAUUCUGAGAGCAGAGCUGAUGCUGUUUUGCUUACAGAGGAGAACAUGGGCUACUGGUAUACAUUAUAUUUCAGACACAGAUUUUAUUAAUUUCACUGCAUUAACAUGAAAACAGGAAAAAAAUAAUACGACAAGAAUUGAAACACAGCAGUAGAAAUACCAUGGUUACAGCAGGAUUUUUUAUCACACUGAACUAAUUUAUGCUUUAAUAUUAAAAAGGUGCUUCCACUUUAGUGCAGUAAAAAAGUACAAAAGAAAGGAAAAAUACUAUUUCCAAGGAAGAAGGUUUGCUGUGAGGAUAAUUUUUUGUCUCUUCUUUAGUCUAUUUGUGGCUAUUAACCUCAAAAGGUAGUGGACAGAUUAUAAUAGCUGAUAGGAUAAAAGCUAACAACUAAUAGAAGCUAUGCCUUGAUGUUAUAAGGCUAGAGGGGGAAGAGUAUUUGCACCACUUAGAUUAAGGCAUCUGAUACCUAAUUUAAAAGCUUGGCUUUUCCAGGUUCCUUCUAAAGUUAGACAGGUGAUCGUCCCCAGAGGCCAUUUAAAUUAUAUGUCUGCUUCUCACUCAGGUAUCUCUUUUUCUUUGCUGACUACUGAGGGACCUUGAAGAGAUUUGCUGUUAAUUUAGGCAUCUGAAUCUCAUGCCGCAUGUUAAGUUGUGUGCAAUCCCCUCUUGUGUCCUUACGUGGCCUGGAGGCUAGUUGAACCUGACCUUCCAGCUUUCCACGAGCAAGGCCUUACAUGCAUGUCCCUAGAAUAUUACUUUCUUUUCCAGAAAAACUUCUGACUAAUGGACUCAAGUCUUGUGACUUGCAGAUCUUUGCUGAUGUGCUUUUAUUGGUUAAGAGCUGUUUUCCUUGGAGGGAUAUGAUUUGUCAGAAACAAGCUCAUGUUUUUUGGGAGUGCGACAUUGUCUGGUUGUGCAGUCAGUAUACUUGGUAUGCACAGUUACUUGCAAAAUUGCACCCACAAAAAUCACAGUGUUGCCUAUUAAAAUCCCACUUUGGAAAAUGUUAACAACUGAACAGUGGUAUGGCAGGCAUAAAAUUAAAGGACUAAAAUAAAAAUACUAUAACUUACCCUAUAGUCA
rnacentral:lncRNA from 1 species